rnacentral:rRNA from 1 species
AGUGAACGCUGGCGGUAGGCCUAACACAUGCAAGUCGAACGGCAGCACAGUAAGAGCUUGCUCUUACGGGUGGCGAGUGGCGGACGGGUGAGGAAUACAUCGGAAUCUACUUUUUCGUGGGGGAUAACGUAGGGAAACUUACGCUAAUACCGCAUACGACCUACGGGUGAAAGCAGGGGAUCUUCGGACCUUGCGCGAUUGAAUGAGCCGAUGUCGGAUUAGCUAGUUGGCGGGGUAAAGGCCCACCAAGGCGACGAUCCGUAGCUGGUCUGAGAGGAUGGACAGCCACACUGGAAGUGAGACACGGUCCAGACUCCUACGGGAGGCAGCAGUGGGGAAUAUUGGACAAUGGGCGCAAGCCUGAUCCAGCCAUACCGCGUGGGUGAAGAAGGCCUUCGGGUUGUAAAGCCCUUUUGUUGGGAAAGAAAAGCAGCAGGUUAAUACCCCGCUGUUCUGACGGUACCCAAAGAAUAAGCACCGGCUAACUUCGUG